rnacentral:rRNA from 1 species
UAUGAACGCUAGCGGCAGGCUUAAUACAUGCAAGUCGAGGGGCAGCAGGCCCCGACGCAAGUCGGGGUGCUGGCGACCGGCAAACGGGUGCGGAACACGUACACAACCUUCCUUUAAGUGGGGAAUAGCCCAGAGAAAUUUGGAUUAAUACCCCGUAACAUUAUGAUGUGGCAUCACAUUAUAAUUAUAGCUCCGGCGCUUAAUGAUGGGUGUGCGGCUGAUUAGAUAGUUGGCGGGGUAACGGCCCACCAAGCCUGCGAUCAGUAACUGGUGUGAGAGCACGACCAGUCACACGGGCACUGAGACACGGGCCCGACUCCUACGGGGAGGCAGCAGUAAGGAAUAUUGGGCAAUGGA